GGAAACUCACCAGGUCCGGACAUGAGGAGGAUUGACAGCUUGAAAGAGCUUUCUUGAUUUUAUGGGUGGUGGUGCAUGGCCGGUUUUUGUGCUUGGAGUGAUCUGUCUGGUCGAUUCCGAUAACGUGCGAGACUGGUGUUGGUUGUUGCCUCUGGUUAACCUUUGCGUUAGCUUGUUCAGAGGGAUCAACCGAGACAACCUGCGUCGAGCAGGGGGAAGCAACCAGCGAAACCAGGUCUGUGAUGCCCUUAGAAGUUCUGGGCUACACGCGCGCUACAAUGGUGGGUUUAGCGGGUCACGAGCUCCGUUUGGAGCGAAUCCUGGUCUGGAAGGACUGGGGAACCCUUUAAGUGCCCACCGUGAUGGGGCUAGAUUCUUGCAAUUAUUAAUCUUCAACGAGGAAUUUCUAGUAUGUGCGAGUCAUCAGCUCGCGCAGAUUGCGUCCCUGCCCUUUGUACACACCGCCCGUCGCAGCUACCGAUUGGGAGAUGAGGUGAGGUGUUUGGACUCGUUCCUUUCCUUUGGGGGAGGAAUGGGGAAGCUCCCCG
rnacentral:rRNA from 1 species